rnacentral:rRNA from 1 species
CACGUAGGGCGCGAGCGUUGUCCGGAAUUAUUGGGCGUAAAGAGCUCGUAGGCGGUUUGUCGCGUCGGCUGUGAAAACUCGGGGCUCAACUCCGAGCUUGCAGUCGAUACGGGCAGGCUAGAGUUCGGCAGGGGAGACUGGAAUUCCUGGUGUAGCGGUGAAAUGCGCAGAUAUCAGGAGGAACACCGGUGGCGAAGGCGGGUCUCUGGGCCGAUAUUGACGCUGAGGAGCGAAAGCGUGGGGAGCGAACAGG